rnacentral:sRNA from 1 species
UUGCAUCUGAGGCCAGUGAGGAUGAGAACCCUGGGGCAGGAGGUUCGACUCGGAGGAAGGAGAGAACGUUGUGUCAGCAACGGUCUCGUGGGCGAGCCACGAAGUGGUGAGUCAUCCUCUAUCACCGACGA